UACGAAGGGGGCAAGCGUUGUUCGGAAUGACUGGGCGUAAAGGGCGCGUAGGCGGCGUGCCAAGUCAGAUGUGAAAGCCCCGGGCUCAACCUGGGAAUAGCAUUUGAGACUGGCGGGCUUGAGUUCGGGAGAGGAUGGUGGAAUUCCCAGUGUAGAGGUGAAAUUCGUAGAGAUUGGGAAGAACACCGAGGGCGAAGGCAGCCAUCUGGACCGACACUGACGCUGAGGCGCGACAGCGUGGGGAGCAAACAGGAUUAGAAACCCCAGUAGUCC
rnacentral:rRNA from 1 species